rnacentral:rRNA from 1 species
UACGUAGGGUGCGAGCGUUGUCCGGAAUUAUUGGGCGUAAAGAGCUCGUAGGCGGUUUGUCGCGUCGGCCGUGAAAUCUCCACGCUUAACGUGGAGCGUGCGGUCGAUACGGGCAGACUUGAGUUCGGCAGGGGAGACUGGAAUUCCUGGUGUAGCGGUGAAAUGCGCAGAUAUCAGGAGGAACACCGGUGGCGAAGGCGGGUCUCUGGGCCGAUACUGACGCUGAGGAGCGAAGGCGUGGGGAGCGAACGGG